UACGGAGGGUGCAAGCGUUAUCCGGAUUCACUGGGUUUAAAGGGUGCGUAGGCGGGCAUUUAAGUCAGUGGUGAAAUACCUGAGCUUAACUUGGGAACUGCCAUUGAUACUAUUUGUCUUGAAUGUCGUGGAGGGUAGCGGAAUAUGUCAUGUAGCGGUGAAAUGCUUAGAUAUGACAUAGAACACCUAUUGCGAAGGCAGCUAACUACGCGAAUAUUGACGCUGAGGCACGAAAGCGUGGGGAUCAAACAGG
rnacentral:rRNA from 1 species